GUUGCAUUUUUUUCUCUUUUUUAUUUGUUUCUCAUUUGGGAAAAAAAUAUUAAUUUAUUUAUUGAUUAUAAAUAAUCCAAUUGGUUAAAAUUUGGGAGCCUUUUUUUUACUUGGGGCCUUAGGCGACUGCAUCUUUUGCUCACCCAUUCAGCCGGCCCUUGCCAGUGGGGAGAAACUUUGGAGGUUGCCUUUGGAAGAAAGUUAUUAGGAGUCGAUGAAAUCAGGAGUAGCUGAUAUGGUCAACACUGGUGGUCGUCCAGUUUGUUGAUGAGAAGGUACAAUGGAUGCAUAUUGACUUAGCAGGCCCAGUUUGGAAUGAUAAGAAACGCGCUGCAACAGGAUUUGGCAUUUCUACUUUGGUCGAGUGGGUUUUGAAGAACUCUUCUUAAAUAAAGAUUGAAGCAUUCUGUUGGGAUCUCAUAUACAUCAAGGGAGGAGAGGAAGAAGAACGUCACAGAGCAUCCUUGGUGGAGUUUCUAAUCAUAUGAAUAAAUAUGUUGCAGGAUUUAAGAAGUCAUGAGUGGAAGGCAUGGUCUUGUUUGAGCUUGUUAGAGAAACUUUAAAACUAGAAUUUCAAUUGAAAUGGUGUUUUUAAAUGUCUCUCAGUCCUUA